UACUCUCCAAUAAAUUUUCCACACUUCUAACUCCAUUUCAGCAUCUGCUUCUCAGAGAACUCAACUUCGACAGUUGGUAUCAAGAAUGACCUGAGAAAGCAAGUGACGAAACAAAGGUCUGGGGACUGGAUCACUCACCACCCAGAUGGUUAUGAAGACCCACAUCCCUGGUGAGUUCCCCAGGAAGAUUCCCCCACCCAAUCCAACCUGGCUGGAAGGAGGUCCUCCUACCUUGUGUGUCUGCCCAUCUUCUGUGAAUACGAUUUGAACUGCCUGACCCAGGACCUUAGGAGCCAGGCAUGGGCACCUGCCACCCCUGUGCUGCUAUGCAGGGAGGACAGCUUCUAGGACACCAGGAGCUGCGAUGACCUAAUACGAAAGAAGGAACAGGGAA